CCUACGGGAGGCAGCAGUGGGGAAUCUUGCGCAAUGGGCGAAAGCCUGACGCAGCAACGCCGCGUGCGGGAUGAAGGCCUUCGGGCUGUAAACCGCUUUCAGCAGGAACGAAAAUGACGGUACCUGCAGAAGAAGGAGCGGCCAACUACGUGCCAGCAGCCGCGGUGACACGUAGGCUCCAAGCGUUGUCCGGAUUUAUUGGGCGUAAAGAGCUCGUAGGCGGUCUAAUAAGUCGGGUGUGAAAACUCUGGGCUCAACCCGGAGACGCCAUCCGAUACUGCUAUGACUUGAGUUCAGGAGGGGAGCGGGGAAUUCCUAGUGUAGCGGUGAAAUGCGCAGAUAUUAGGAGGAACACCGGUGGCGAAGGCGCCGCUCUGGACUGAAACUGACGCUGAGGAGCGAAAGCAUGGGUAGCAAACAGGAUUAGAUACCCUGGUAGUCCAUGCCGUAAACGGUGGGCACUAGGUGUGGGUUUCAACUACGAAAUCCGCGCCGUCGCUAACGCAUAGUGCCGCCNGAGAGACGUCGCGAGACAAACUACAAGAGAGUAGCGNGNGAGACGCGACGACGACGACGACGGAGGAG
rnacentral:rRNA from 1 species